AGUCCAGAGAAGUGUCCCUGCGCUUCUGCUCCUCUCAGUGAGGGCUCAGGUGGCUCCCCACGCACCCAGAGAAGGCUCAGAAUGGACUUCAGGAUUCCAAUGAGAAGAAAGAAGCAGAGACAGCCAUCAAGUUGACAUGCAAGCCCUGUCACCGUCCUGAAACAUAGGAAGGACAGAAGCUCAGAGAGUUUGAGUGACUUCCCUAAGGAGGCUCAGCGGGUAACAGCCAUGUG